AUGGGCGCAAGCCUGAUGCAGCCAUGCCGCGUGUAUGAAGAAGGCCUUCGGGUUGUAAAGUACUUUCAGCAGUGAGGAAGGUGGAUGUGUUAAUAGCGCAUUCAUUUGACGUUAGCUGCAGAAGAAGCACCGGCUAACUCCGUGCCAGCAGCCGCGGUAAUACGGAGGGUGCGAGCGUUAAUCGGAAUUACUGGGCGUAAAGCGCAUGCAGGUGGUUUGUUAAGUCAGAUGUGAAAGCCCGGGGCUCAACCUCGGAAUUGCAUUUGAAACUGGCAGACUAGAGUACUGUAGAGGGGGGUAGAAUUUCAGGUGUAGCGGUGAAAUGCGUAGAGAUCUGAAGGAAUACCGGUGGCGAAGGCGGCCCCCUGGACAGAUACUGACACUCAGAUGCGAAAGCGUGGGGAGCAAACAGGAUUAGAUACCCUGGUAGUCCACGCCGUAAACGAUGUCUACUUGGAGGUUGUGGGGGGAGCCGUGGCUUUCGGAGCUAACGCGUUAAGUAGACCGCCUGGG
rnacentral:rRNA from 1 species